rfam:Branchiostoma floridae genomic scaffold BRAFLscaffold_195, whole genome shotgun sequence.
GUCGGAUACGGUGAUAUUUACCCAACGACGCUACUCGGGAAAAUCGUGGGCAGCCUGUGUUGUGUGUGCGGCGUGUUGGUGAUCGCAUUACCUAUUCCAAUCAUUGUGAACAAU